AUUACCGCGGCUGCUGGYACGUAGUUAGCCKGUCCUUAUUCUUCYGGUACCGUCAUCCAYACCCGGUAUUAUCAGGUGCGAUUUCUUCCCGGACAAAAGUBCUUUACAACCCGAAGGCCUUCUUCACACACGSGGCAUUGCUGGAUCAGGGUUGCCCYCAUUGUCCAAAAUUCCCCACUKCUGCCUCCCGUAGGAGUCUGGGCCGUGUCUCAGUCCCAGUGUGGCUGAUCGUCCUCUCAGACCAGCUACUGAUCGUCGCCUUGGUAGGCCUUUACCCCACCAACUAGCUAAUCAGACAUCGGCCGCUCCUAUAGCAUGAGGCCUUGCGGUCCCCCACUUUCACCCUCAGGUCGUAUGCGGUAUUAGCUAGUCUUUCGACUAGUUAUCCCCCACUACAGGGCACGUUCCGAUGUAUUACUCACCCGUUCGCCACUCGCCACCAGGAUUGCUCCCGUGCUGCCGUUCGACUUGCAUGUGUAAGAA
rnacentral:rRNA from 1 species